AUAACAGGGCAAAGGCUCUUCUAAGGCAGGCAGACUUCAGUGUCACUCUUUCUCAGUCUCUGAAGCUUACCUGCCUCCAAAGUGCCUCUGCCAUGGCCCUGUA
rnacentral:miRNA from 1 species